rnacentral:rRNA from 1 species
UGGGGAAUUUUGGACAAUGGGGGAAACCCUGAUCCAGCCAUCCCGCGUGUGCGAUGAAGGCCUUCGGGUUGUAAAGCACUUUUGGCAGGAAAGAAACGUCAUGGGUUAAUACCCCGUGAAACUGACGGUACCUGCAGAAUAAGCACCGGCUAACUACGUGCCAGCAGCCGCGGUAAUACGUAGGGUGCAAGCGUUAAUCGGAAUUACUGGGCGUAAAGCGUGCGCAGGCGGUUCGGAAAGAAAGAUGUGAAAUCCCAGAGCUCAACUUUGGAACUGCAUUUUUAACUACCGGGCUAGAGUGUGUCAGAGGGAGGUGGAAUUCCGCGUGUAGCAGUGAAAUGCGUAGAUAUGCGGAGGAACACCGAUGGCGAAGGCAGCCUCCUGGAAUAACACUGACGCUCAUGCACGAAAGCGUGGGGAGCAAACAGG